CGAAAAUCUGUAUUUCUGUAUCUAAUAUAAGAUGUCAUUUGAACUUAAGUUAUAGAACAAGACAGGAUCAAAUACAUUGAAGAAAGAAAGUAGUGAGUCUAUAAGAACUUGAAAGUCCAGUUCAGUUCAAAACCAAAGAAGAACCAGAAGACUCUGAUCUCAUGCCUGUCCACCAAGAGCCAAGGGAAAGAUAAAAGAGGCCAAGGAUGGAUGAAGUGAUUGUAAGAGUAAUUCAUUGCUAAUUGAAUGCAAGAGUCAUAUCAAUACACAGCGGAAUACAUUCCAUGAUCUAUUGAUUAUUCUUCUACGUGUAAGCAAACAUAAAGAUUAUUUUGGGUUUACAGAACCAAGGGUGGUUUGAGUUUUUACCAGCUGCAGAUUCAACAUACAAGAUAAAUGUGAUACAAUUUCCACAAAAGUACACACACAUACCUUGUGCGUGGGGUUCUGCUUGGCACUUUUUGCAUAUUAAAUAUAUUUUGAGGCAAAGAUAGGAGAGGAGGGAAGACAAGAAAGGAUUAGGUCAAAGGGCAAAAAUGGAAGGCAGAGACAAGCAGAGUGUGAUGGGGUACAAACCCUAAAGGUCAUGAAAGGUUAAUGGACAGCUGGAGACUAGAGGGAGGAGCUGAAAAGGGGAAGCCCUGCCUAACUGCUGCCAGGCUAGGUGGAAGGAGAGGUCUUUGAGGUCUUACCUAGGAGAGAAGUCUGGGGACAGGAACAAGGAAGGACUGAUGCCUUGAUGGACAUGCUGGGAGGGUAUGCCGCCACAGGGAGGAUAAUGAAGACCAUGGAGGACAACUGGAGCAAGGCUGAAGCAAAGAAACUGUGAGGCAGACAGGAAGCAAUGGGCAGCUGGAAAAAGUACUCAAGUGACACAAGGGUCAAUUGUUGCUCAGAGUGACUACUAAACCUUAGUCUGCAAGUAGUUCUACUGAAAUCUAUGGCCUACUCAGAUAAGUCUGGGGACUGGCUAAAGCAAAACAAAGAGCAAGCUGAUGCUCCAGCCAGAUAUCAACAAAACUGAUGAUCCAUCACUUACCACAUGGCCAUUUUUUGACAAGAAGGGAAGGCAGGGACAAAGAGCUCUGCAUCUUAGCAAAGAAACAGUAUGAGGUCUCCUUCCUCCAGCAGAACCCAUGUCUUUUGGUUCUCAUAUGGAACUUCUCUUCAAAGAGGGAAAGAAACUGUAAAAAGAAGGAUAAAGA